rnacentral:rRNA from 1 species
GGCAAGAUAAUAAGGGUAUAUGGUGGAUGCCUUGGCGAAGAAGAGCGAUGAAGGACGUGGCUGGCUGCGAUAAGCUACGGGGAGCCGUCAAGCAGGCUUUGAGCCGUAGAUUUCCGAAUGGGGAAACCCGCUGAGGGUCAUGCCUCAGCAUCCAUACCUGAAUAUAUAGGGUAUGUGAAGAAGACCAGGAGAAGUGAAACAUCUCAGUAACCUGAGGAAGAGAAAGAAACCUCGAUUCUGAAAGUAGCGGCGAGCGAAAUCGGAAGAGCCUAAACCAUUUAUGUUAAUAGCCUAACUGUGUUCCAUAAGUGGGGUUGUAGGGUCUAAAUAGGGAGAAAGUUAGUAUCACCCGGGAAGUUAAAAGAUUCAUUUUUUUAGUUGAAUUGUACUGGAAAGACGAGCUAUAAAAGGUGAUAGCCCUGUAAGCGAAAAAAUGAACUUCCUGUAUUUAGAUUCCUGAGUAGGACGGGACACGAGAAACCCUGUCUGAAUCUGGGAGGACCACCUCCUAAGGCUAAAUAUCUUCUUCGACCGAUAGUGAACAAGUACCGUGAGGGAAAGGUGAAAAGUACUGCGGAAGCAGAGUGAAAUAGUACCUGAAACCGUAUACCUACAAGCUGCCAUAGGGCUAUGCCAGGUUAGGUAGGAGACCUGGUUUAGGACUUCAGUUUGAUAGAUGGAAGAAAGAAAGAGCGCAAGCCUUUUUGAGUAAGACUCUAUCCUGUGUCCUACACCUCCUUCUGGCCACUGGAAUGCCUAAUGGCGUGCCUUUUGCAUAAUGAGCCGGCGAGUUAUUGGGUGUUGCCAGGUUAAGUGGUAUGAGCCAUAAAACCGUAGCGAAAGCGAGUCUGAAUAGGGCGAUUAGUAGCAUUCAAUAGACCCGAAACUGAGUGAUCUAUCUAUGGCCAGGGUGAAGCAGGGUUAAAACCCUGUGAAGGCCCGAACCGGUGUAGGUUGAAAACUGCUCGGAUGAGCUGUGGAUAGGAGUGAAAGGCCAAUCAAACUCAGUGAUAGCUGGUUCUCCCCGAAAUGCCUUUAGGGACAGCCUCAGGUAAUAAAUUAUGGUGGUAGAGCACUGAAUGGACUAGGGGCCUGACAAGGGUUACCAAAUCCAAUCAAACUCCGAAUGCUAUAAUUCGUAUCCUGGGAGUGAGAAAGUGGGGGAUAAGCUCCAUUUUCUAAAGGGAAAGAACCCAGACCACCAGCUAAGGUCCCUAAGUACAAGCUUAGUGGAGAAGGAUGUGGAGUUGCACAAACAACCAGGAUGUUGGCUUAGAAGCAGCCAUCAUUUAAAGAGUGCGUAAUAGCUCACUGUUCGAGUGGCUCUGCGCCGAGAAUCCAAGGGGGCUAAAAGCUUGUCACCGAAGCUGUGGAUAUGAAGAUAGCUUAUAGUUGAUAGGAAGAUGGUUAGUAGUUUCGGCUACUAAUUGUUGACUUAUCGCCAAACUCUAAGUGAUGCUUUAUAUGGUAGGGGAGCGUUCCAUACGGAGCGAAGGUAGACCGUGAGGACUACUGGACUGUAUGGAAGUGAGAAUGCCGGCAUGAGUAGCGAUCAGGUGAGUGAGAACCUCACCCGCCGAAAACCUAAGGUUUCCUUGAGUAAAGCCAAUCUGCUCAGGGUAAGUCGGACCCUAAGCCGAGGCCGAAAGGCGUAGGCGAUGGAAGACAGGUUAAAAUUCCUGUACCACCUUUUGUUGUUUUAGCGAUGGGGUGACGUGGAAGGGUAGGCUGUGCGGUCUGUAGGAUUAGAUCGUCCAAGCUCAAAGGAGGAGCUUUCAGGUAAAUCCGAAGGCUCUUAACUCUGAAGAGUAAUGGGGACCUCGCGGCGAAAGCCAAGUGGGGAAGUAGCUAAUCCCAUACCACCCAGAAAAACCUCUAAGUGAGACAAAGGGUGUCCGUACCGCAAACUGACACAAGUAGGUGAGUAGAAUAUACUAAGGUGCUCGAGAUAACCCUGGUUAAGGAACUCGG